UACGUAGGGUGCAAGCGUUGUCCGGAAUUAUUGGGCGUAAAGAGCUCGUAGGCGGUCUGUCGCGUCUGCUGUGAAAACUCGGGGCUUAACCCCGGGCCUGCAGUGGGUACGGGCAGACUAGAGUGCGGUAGGGGAGACUGGAAUUCCUGGUGUAGCGGUGAAAUGCGUAGAUAUCAGGAGGGAAUACCGAUGGCGAAGGCAGGUCUCUGGGCUGACACUGACGCUCAUGCACGAAGCGUGGGGAGCAAACAGG
rnacentral:rRNA from 1 species